GGAUUAGAUACCCUGGUAGUCCACGCCGUAAACGAUGUCUGCUAGGUGUCGGGAGGUAACCUUUCGGUGCCGCAGCUAACGCAUUAAGCAGACCGCCUGGGAAGUACGGCCGCAAGGCUAAAACUCAAAGGAAUUGACGGGGGCCCGCACAAGCGGUGGAGCAUGUGGUUUAAUUCGAGGCAACGCGAAGAACCUUACCAGCCCUUGACAUGGGUAGUAUGGAUUUUGGAGACAAUUUCCUUCAGUUCGGCUGGCUACCACACAGGUGCUGCAUGGCUGUCGUCAGCUCGUGCCG
rnacentral:rRNA from 1 species